rnacentral:ncRNA from 1 species
GUUCUCAAAAAGGGGUGCCUAAAUACUAAACUUGUUUAGUAACUGGCUGAGAUCAUACCCAAUGAACCUAGAACAGGUAAUGCUGUUUAGGGAUAUUAAGAUGUUAUACU